UACGUAGGGAGCAAGCGUUGUCCGGAAUCACUGGGCGUAAAGGGUGCGUAGGCGGGGUUUUAAGUCAGAGGUGAAAUCCUGGAGCUCAACUCCAGAACUGCCUUUGAUACUGAAAGUCUUGAGUAUGGGAGAGGUGAGUGGAACUGCGAGUGUAGAGGUGAAAUUCGUAGAUAUUCGCAAGAACACCAGUGGCGAAGGCGGCUCACUGGCCCAUAACUGACGCUGAGGCACGAAAGCGUGGGGAGCAAACAGG
rnacentral:rRNA from 1 species